GUAGACAGUUUAGUUUAAUCCAAGGAAAAUAUAAAUAUUCUGUGAACAAGUUCUGGCUCACUCUCUCAACUCUCAAGGUUUGCUUGAUUUUUCUAACAUGGCCUGUGCUCGUUUAUCUAGUCUUAUAUGGCAUCAUUUUUUUUAUAUAUUUGUUCUACACCCUUGUAGGAGAAUACGACAUCUUUUGAUCACAUCAAAUUCUUCCAUGACCUCGUUGCACAAGUUAACGGGAAGAUCCGUGGGUUCCAGGCGAAGGUAGCGGAGCUGUGGUAUGUAGAAGAGUACGACGUCCUCGCACUAGCGCUGAAUGGGAAGAUGAAAGUUCGGAGGCUCAACCUUGGCUGCAAUGAAGACUAGAGCAACUGACGGAGGACAAAGAGAACACCACGGGGAUAUUAAUCCAUCGCGUCCAAGCAUUAUUAUGCAACGCUUGGAAUGCUUUCGUGAUUCGAACAUCACAUCCAUGGCAACCUUUUGUUCUGCGAAGAUUGGGACGAGGCAGCGCCGAGGAAAUAACAGCUGGUGCCCCCAAUAGAGAAGUAGAGAACGAAUGUAAUUGCUUUCACACCAACAGUAUUUGAGUACUGGUGAUUCGUGAAUCUGUGGAUGAAAAUCAAACCUGUAUCUGUAACACCUCUCCUGUUACUCAGAAAAACUUCCAACUUACAUGCUA